UUCACGAUCUCUAUGGAAAAUAUUCACGCUUUCACUUUUUGCUCAGAUAAUAGAACAUUGUAAAUCUCUAACUGAAAAUACGGACCCAAAUGAAUCAAAUUCGAAAGCACGUAUGAUCACGUUUCAUGCCGAUUGCAAGUUCUCGAAAAAGGGGGGUACACAUGUAAUUUCAAUGCCCCAUAAAUUGCAAAAUAUAGGCUACUGAGGCACCACGAAUUUUGAAGAACGUCUCGGGUUCAACUCAAAAGUGGACCCCAUACUGGGCCCAUAGGCGGAUUUAGGGGGGUGCAGGCUCCCUCUUUUGGGGAAAAAAUUUGGUUGCUUAUAUAGGGAAUCAAUGAAGCGUGACUAGAGCCCUCUUACAAAAAUGUAGGUCAGGCAGUUGGCCCACACCUAUGAAAAUUUCUGGAUCCGCCACUAGACCCACUUUUACUGUUGGAUGUUUUAUACCAGGAUGGAGAAAGAUGUUCACUAUGAAUCAAAAAUUCAAAACAGAGGACUUUUAUAUAUCAACAAAAACAAUUGCAGUACAUGCACAUAUACAUGUAUAAAAGUACACUGUCAGCAUGGUCAGAAGAAGAAUUUUACUGGAGGAUUAAAAUUUUGAUACCUGGAAUCAGCAAUGAAUAUGAAAAUGAAAAUGAUAUAUAUUCAUGUACAGAAUGGUAACCGAGGUGGUUCAAUUGUUUUAUUAGCAGACAUUUUUGUUGAACUUAUGCAGGAUUGAAUAAAUGAAACUUAAGCUGACUAUGGGCUCAAUGUGUAGUAAAAAGAGGAUUUUGAAAUAUAUGCAAGAUUCAUCAACAUUACAAUGUGCACAAGUGAAAUAUCACCUUAUUUAGUAAAAAAAAAAAAUCA